GUGGUCACUUCAGCAGCACAUAUACUAAAAUUGCAACAAUACAGAGAAGAUUAGCAUGGUCCCUGCACAAGGAUGACAUGCAAAUUCAUGAAGUGUUCAAUAUUUUU